rnacentral:rRNA from 1 species
AGAGUUUGAUCAUGGCUCAGAAUCAACGCUGGCGGCGUGCCUAACACAUGCAAGUCGAACGCGAAAGUCCCGCAAGGAUAAGUAGAGUGGCAAACGGGUGAGUAACACGUGGGUGACCUGCCUUCGAGCGGGGGAUAACGUCCCGAAAGGGACGCUAAUACCGCAUAACAUCCUGCCUUCUAAGAGGUGGAGAUCAAAGCUGGGGAUCGCAAGACCUAGCACUUGAAGAGGGGCCCGCGUCCGAUUAGCUAGUUGGUGGGGUAAUGGCUCACCAAGGCAACGAUCGGUAGCCGGCCUGAGAGGGCGGACGGCCACACUGGGACUGAGACACGGCCCAGACUCCUACGGGAGGCAGCAGUGGGGAAUUGUUCGCAAUGGGCGCAAGCCUUGACGACGCAACGCCGCGUGGAGGAUGAAGAUCUUCGGGUCGUAAACUCCUUUCGAUCGAGACGAAUUCCUUUGCGGUGAACAAUCGCGAAGGUUGACGGUACCGAGAGAAGAAGCCCCGGCUAACUCCGUGCCAGCAGCCGCGGUAAUACGGGGGGGGCAAGCGUUGUUCGGAAUUACUGGGCGUAAAGGGCUCGUAGGCGGCCAACUAAGUCAAACGUGAAAUCCCUCGGCUUAACCGGGGAACUGCGUCUGAUACUGGAUGGCUUGAGUUUGGGAGAGGGAUGCGGAAUUCCAGGUGUAGCGGUGAAAUGCGUAGAUAUCUGGAGGAACACCGGUGGCGAAGGCGGCAUCCUGGACCAACACUGACGCUGAGGAGCGAAAGCCAGGGGAGCAAACGGGAUUAGAUACCCUAGUAGUCC